AGAGGGACUUCCAGUCCUGCAAGCUUUAUUCAUGGUCGCCAGCACGCUGGACGGUAUGUUUCAUCCGGAGAACUCGACCAUUCGGUGGCGGCGGCUGUUACUGGCGGCAGCGGGCCUGUCUGCUUGUGAGGAUCAGCUUCUGAAGCUCCUUCUUAAUUUCCUUCUGGGUAAUGUGCGACUCCACAGCCAUCUUUCUCCUACGGUCUCAGACUUUGAAUAAAAACAAAAACAAGUUGGUCGCGGUGGCUCACGCCUGUAAUUCCAGCACUUUGGGAGGCCGAGGAGGGCGGAUCACGAGGUCGGGAGUUUGAGACCAGCCUGACCAACAUGGUGAAAUCCGUCUCUACUAAAAAUACAAAAUUACCUAGGAGUGGUGGCUCAUGUCUGUAAUCCGAGCUACUCGGGAGGCUGAGGCAGGAGAAUCGUGUGAACCCGGGAGGUGGAGGUUGCAGGGAGCCGAGAUCACGCCAUUGCACUCCAGCCCGGGCAACAAGAGUGAAACUCUGUCUCAAAACAAACAAGACAACCAAACAAAAAAACUGUCCCUGGGCGGGCGCUGUAGCUCACACCUGUAAUCUCAGCUACUCAGGAUGCUGACACUGGAGGAUGCUUGAGCCCAGGAGGUUGAGGCUGCAGUGAGCUGUGAUCACGCCACUGUACUCCACCUAGGUUACAGAGGGAGACCAGGUCUCUUAAACAAAAAAAAUUCAUUUACUAACUGUAUAACCUCAAUCAAGUCAUUUAAUCUCUCUGAGCAUCUGCUUUCUUAUCUGUAAAAUGCACAAGGUUGCUUUUAGCCUCAAAUGAGGUAAACGGUGAAAGAGUUGGUGGUACCUAGGGGACACUGAAAAAAAAGCCUGCUCAUUCUGCCCUAAGUGAAAAGGACACUGAGAACUAUGCCAAAUAAAAAUACAUUACAUAAAGGCAUGAAAUUACAAUGCUUAGGGAGAAAUGUGUUCUAUGUAAAAUUAAUUAAGAAACAAUCAGAUCGAUGGGAGAGGAUUGUUUUAACGACCUGUAUUUGAGAACUGUGUAAUGCAUAUUUACUAAGAUGUUGUGGUAAGUUGUUUAUAUCAUCACUUAGUUACAGCUAUGUUACAUGGUUUAAGAGAAAAUGAACUUGGCCAGGUGCAGUGGCUCAC
rnacentral:lncRNA from 10 species